AUUGAAUUAGCAGCAUCCUCAAUUUUCUCAUCUCCUCCUUCUUCCUCCUCUUAUCUCAAAUUCCCAUUGUUUCCCAAUUCAAUUAAACUCCAAAAUUACAAUCAUUCUCUUAAUCUUUCUCUGAAAUCCAUUCUAUAUCCUCUUCCUCUUCCUUCAAGAAAACAAUGCACCCAACUUCACUGCUCAGCAGUUGAAGUCACUGAACCUGUAACAGUACAAGAAGAGAAAACAGAGAAACCCCAGAAAAAUAAUCAAAGAAGAAAGCUUUUUGUUCUAAACUUACCAUGGU
rnacentral:misc_RNA from 1 species